rnacentral:rRNA from 1 species
AUUGAACGCUGGCGGCAGGCCUAACACAUGCAAGUCGAGCGGAGCGGCGGACGGGUAAGUAAUGCCUAGGAAUCUGCCUGGUAGUGGGGGAUACAUUCCGGAGACGGGCCCUAUUACAGCAUCCUUUCAAAUGGCCCUCGGUCGGAUUAGCUGGUUGGUGGGGUAAAGGCCUACAAAGGCGACGAUCCGUAACUGGUCUGAGAGGAUGAUCAGUCACACUGGAACUGAGACACGGUCCAGACUCCUACGGGAGGCAGCAGUGGGGAAUAUUGGACAAUGGUCGAAAGCCUGAUCCAGCCAUGCCGCGUGUGUGAAGAAGGUCUUCGGAUUGUAAAGCACUUUAAGUUGGGAGGCGGUACCAACAGAAUAAGCACCGGCUAACUUCGUGCCAGCAGCCGCGGUAAUAC